AAGAAGGGCUGCACAUCAGAGAGGCUGUUUAGUUUCUCAUUCUACUGCAGUGGAAGAACAUUGCUCAUCUGCUGUCUGUUUGGCUUUAACAACUCCAAAGACAUGUUGCUUUACCUGUUUUUACUUUUCUCUCCCUUUAUAGCCCUGGGUUCCAUGAACAGCAUAAAGCCAGAAAGUACUGAAGAACAUGUUGCAGAGGGCAGAAACAUCAACCUGACCUGUACAUAUGAGGGUACUAUCUACAAUAUCCAGUGGUACCGACAAUACCAGAGAUCCAGACCAGAGUUCCUGCUCUACCUCACAGAGGGAGGGGUGAUUCAUCCAACUGGUUCUGAUUUCUCAGCUCACAUUGACAAGAGAAAGAAACGUGUUGAUCUGGAGAUCAUCUCAGCUAAGGUGUCUGACUCUGCUGUGUACUACUGUGCUCUGCAG